GAAUCUUGCGCAAUGGGCGAAAGCCUGACGCAGCAACGCCGCGUGGGGGAUGAAGGCUCUCGGGUUGUAAACCCCUUUCAGCAGGGACGAAAUUGACGGUACCUGCAGAAGAAGCCCCGGCUAACUACGUGCCAGCAGCCGCGGUAACACGUAGGGGGCAAGCGUUGUCCGGAUUUAUUGGGCGUAAAGAGCUCGUAGGUGGCUAAGUAAGUCGGAUGUUAAAUCCCCAGGCUCAACCUGGGACACCACCCGAUACUGCUUUGGCUAGAGUCCGGUAGGGGAGCGUGGAAUUCCUGGUGUAGCGGUGAAAUGCGCAGAUAUCAGGAGGAACACCAGCGGCAAAGGCGGCGCUCUGGGCCGGUACUGACACUGAGGAGCGAAAGCGUGGGUAGCAAACAG
rnacentral:rRNA from 1 species